UAGGUAAUGUGCCAGCCCCGCGGUAAUACGUAUGGUGCAAGCGUUAUCCGGAUUUACUGGGUGUAAAGGGAGCGUAGACGGCUGUGUAAGUCUGAAGUGAAAGCCCGGGGCUCAACCCCGGGACUGCUUUGGAAACUAUGCAGCUAGAGUGUCGGAGAGGUAAGUGGAAUUCCCAGUGUAGCGGUGAAAUGCGUAGAUAUUGGGAGGAACACCAGUGGCGAAGGCGGCUUACUGGACGAUGACUGACGUUGAGGCUCGAAAGCGUGGGGAGCAAACAGG
rnacentral:rRNA from 1 species